UGCUUACAAUGAUGUGCUGGUUAAAAAAUGAGCUGAUCCGAUUUUACUGGCCUUAUUUGACUUUAUUUCUCUGUUUUGGUCUCCUCAUUUAUCCUUUUCCUUACAGAUCAAAUAGAUAUUAAAUGAAGAGCUCAAAAUUAUUUUAAAAAACAAUGUUGAAUCCAAAUUGCAGAUAUCUAUUCAGUAAAUCAUGCUAAGUAGAUAAGAUUCUUAUUUCUUCUUAUUUACCUAAAAAAAACCCCAAAAGCUGGUUGUGUUUUGGCUUCAGAAAGCGAGAUCUUGUAGUUGAGACAGGAUAGAAAUAGCCUUUAAAAGCUAAAUGAAAUGAAUAGUCUUGCAAAGGGAAAAAAAGAGGAAUUUUUCAUGAGUCCCUGGAAACCAGCAAAAAAGCAUCAAAACUGUUGUUUUCAGUAAUAAUUGUGAUUACUUGGUUAAAAUACCCCGUACGAGAAGCUUUCGAUGUUUUUUGUGCCUCUACAAGGAAAAUUAAAACAGAACACACAGCAUUGGGGCCAAUUUGUUUCCAAGGAAGUCAAUUAUUAAUACUGUAUUUAGUAUUUAAUGAACUAAGCCGAUGUAUGUGAAACGCUGCAGAGAUCUCCUUACCAGCGGAGAACAGGUGUUGAUAGAAGCUUUGCCCGUAUGUUUACCAGCUGAUUAGUACCCAUUAAAAUGAUAAUAAUCUAAUAAAAAUUACUUUAUGUCUAGUGAAAGUUGAAAGUCCCCUGUGUAUUGGAGAAUGAUUUUUUUUCUAUUGCAUGGCAGUGAUAGGAUUGAAGUGACAAGAAUCCACCCCCAAAGCAGCGUGAAUGUUCUGAAUUUCUAUGCCUUAGACUUUUCACUUCAAGUGUCCCUUUCUCCAAAGGUUGACUCUGGCAGUCAGGACACUUCACUGUUUUUCAUGGCUUCAAGGGAAGGACAGUUACCAACCCACCAAAAUCCUCUGGCAAUAGGAAAAGGAAUCAGAUCCUUAGUAAACGACACUACCUUGUCCAUCUUAGGAGACCAGAGGAGAAACUAUGGGUGUCCUGAAGGACUGUUCUGGGCUUUGGUUGUCCCAGACAGCCCCGAGCAGUUGCUAAGGAAACUCUGAGCCAUCUGUGAGCUGGCAGUUUCCUGGGAAACCCUUGAUUUCAGGCUAGCCGUAGUCAAAAUUGUUAUGAAUGUGAGGUCACAUCAUCCCCAGCCUCACACUUCUGACCCCUUCUCUUCAUGACGUGCUCCACUCAUUCUGUCUCAGCUGAGCCUUGCACACUUUACUCUUGCUCUUCUACCAAAAGCUGAACUCAGGAAAUUUUCAGGAAUUUGGUUAUACGGUAGGGUAGAGACUGAAAACUAAGGGUUAUUUGCGUUGUAACAGCAUCAAAUUCCUCCAACUGAUUAAGGGUCUCCUGGAGGAAAUUGGGGCAUUUGGCCAAGUACAGGUGACACAUUCGCCUGCCUCAUUUACCUGUAGCUUCCAGGACCCGGAUUACUACACAAUGGAGUGUAUGUCGUUAUUCCUUUUGACUUCUUCCUAAAAGUAUUGAUGGAAACAUAGUAGAAAGAAUGAAUUUUGGAGGUAGAAAUGUAUUUUUUUACUGAUUUAUUUUAAUAGUGAUGGGGACCCUAUUGAAAUUUGCAGUAUAGAAAGAAGUCAUAGGAGAAAAACCAGAUGAUUUCUGGAAAUAAGGAUUUUGUAGAAACUGUGAAUAAGAAAUAAGCAUCUUAAUACUAAUGCCAAAGUCUGUCCUUUGUUUAUGUGUUCUAUAAUGUUGAGACUGUUCAGCAUUCUAAAUUGCUUUAUACUUCAGAUUAACGUGAGGCCAGAAUGAUUUAAGGACUAUUUUGGUCUUAAAAAUAGAAAUCUCCACAUUUAAAACAGAAACACAACCUUUAAUUGAUUGGCAAAAAUAGGGUUCUUUUCAAAGGAAGACUUGGGCAGGCCCCAGAUGAAGGCAACGAAGAGCAGCCUGGUUCUGGAAAGGGAAGUCAGCAGAAUUGUUCUGUUGAUCUAUCCUCUGCUUUUCUGGGCUGCUACAGGAAACAGACUUCAAGGAAAAGGUCAUAGGUCACCUGGGGCUCUGGGGCUUAAGGCAACCAUGCAAAAAUCUAGACGGCUCAGAAUCUUUCUUUCUCACAAAGGACACAUUAUGAAUUGGUUCCUGUAUGUGUGUACAUUUGUUUCGUACCCAGUCACCAUGCUGGCAGAAAAGUAUUGCUGUUAUUUCUAUGAAGGAAACUUUGAAACUUCAUAGUUUUUCUUUGCCAUGACUGGUGACUUUUAAAAUUCAGUGAAAACCUCUUGAUCUAGGCAUUGGACUUGAAAAUUAGAGACUUAAUUGGGAACCAAAAAGAUAUAAGUCCCAAGACUGUAAGUUGGCCACUUUUGGAAAAAUACACUUUAGAAAGUGUGAUGAAUGAUUUUUUUGUGCUCAUAUUCCUUCAUCUUUAGCCCAGAAGAUACUGAGCUGGUACCGAAUUAACAGUUCUUAGAAUGAACUUCCGCUUGAUCUCAGGAUAGCAGCCUAAGCAGAAGGAGGAGGAAAUCUGGGGCAAAUGAUUACAAUAGCAGGAACUGUAAGAUAAAAUUUGAUGCUAUCUUUUCAGCACUCAACCAAUUCAGAGGUGAUGGAAUAGGGACCCAGGGUUUUCCAGAAACCAAGAGUAAUUCUAAAAGGCAAGACCUUAAGGGACAUCCUCUUCUUUGGCCGUCAAAGCAACCGGAGCUGUCACUGGGAUUAGCAGACAGAGGAUCAUGAUGGGGUUCUCUUUAGCUAUGAAACGAGGAAGAAGAAAAUCUUCUCUUAACAAUAAUAUACACGUGCCAUGAGAGAGAUGAAGCAGAAGAUUAAGCAAGAAACCCAGCUAUUUUAUUGCCCUAAGGCAUUACUCAUUUUCCUGACACAUUAUGUUUUUAAUUAAAAUUGCAUGUGAGUUAAUUAAAAUAUUCACUCAGGCCCUUUUUUCCCUCUUCCUGCUUGGGUUCCUUGCUACUCUUUUAGCUUUUUGGUAAAACUCAGUUUCAUUUUAACUCAGGUGCCUUUAUCAGCUGCAACUUUAAUAAAGAGUCUGUAUACUGAGGUAACUAAAAAAAUAAAAUCUAAUUUUAAAAAUUCACCCCUAAGUGACCAAGGUAAAGGGAUGUGGCCAGGAGUGAAAUCAUUAAGUCUUUUAUGUUCUUCCCUGCUUAUUUAAUCAAAAACAUGAAAUUAUCAUUGAUAGAAAGUGUAUUCAGAAGAAGUACUGUGAUUUUUUCCUAUGCCAGGCGUGUUUUUCUUGUUAUAGACACGUUUAUCCAUCUACAGUCCUUUGUUCAGGAAAGGAUCAUAGCUUAUGGCACCUACGGUUGUGUAACCUCAGCUUUCCCUGAUUACAGCUGAUUAUUAGCCUUUAGUGGACAUCUAUCCAGUUCAACCUAUCAAUGGAUCAGUAACCCUGAGAAACAAAAUCCCUCUUGUGUAGACACUCAGAGACCUUGGUUACUGAUGAGUCCAUAUUGGAUCUGUGAGGACAAAUAGGCCAGUACUGGAGGCCAUAUUGGGUCGCUUGUAAACAAAGGAAGAAUAGACAGGAAGAAGCAGAGAUAGUUGCAGCCACGUGGCUAUGAGACAGACAAGAGAGAACCUUCAGUUUCAGUGUCUUCCCCAUCUACUUCCCUUGAGGCCUGGCUGAGUCCUUACUGUAUCCCUGAGAUGGCUUUUUUUUUUUUUUGCAAAAACCCCUUUUUAAGAGUUAGCUAAAAUGAAUUCUGGAUCCUUGUAAACAAUGAGCUCUAACUAAAACAUCUGUGCUUCAAAACUCCAUAUAUUCCUAAGCAGCCCUGACAGAGAUAAUAUUAAAAAGCAAAACCAUAAAAUGGGUAGUAAGAAACCAGUUAUUGCAGUUCAAGAAUAUAUAGGCUGAAGCCGCCUGGUCGAAGUGAAGUCCAGGAGAGAGAAGAGUGUUUUUUCCAACUGUAGUAGAACCCCCUUCGUGAAAAGUUUGGGAAAAAUCUGUUUCUGUUCUUUUUUCAUUUUUUUUCCAUCUCCAAUGAUGUUUUAGUACCUUAAAAUGUUAAUGAGUCUGAGAAACUGGUACCCUGGGCAGCUACUUGCGACCCACUUGUUAAUUUAUCUCUGCUACCUAGAUAAGGAUCUCAAUGUCUUUCUCCCUAGAUUGGAUUUCUAAAGUACCAGAAUUAGCCCAGAUGGGUGUGGUGCUCGCCUAAGUCUGACGUUGCAAUCCAUUAAUCUUCUGAACUCUUAAACCUCCUUCACAGCUUAAAUUUCAUGGUCUAUCAUUAUAAUUCCAUCUCAACUCUUUAUGGCAAAACCAUGUUUGAGGGUUAAAUCCGUAUCUCCACCAACUUCUUGCCUACAUUUGGACAGUAUGUAAAUGGAGGAAAAUUUACUGCUAUUCUAACUGACCUCCAGAAAGCAAAAUUAUCAGCUGAGAGUGAGUAUGGUAAAGAUAGAAAUACAUAUUGGAGAUUUGGGGCAUGACACUCACCUAUCAUAUUUACUUUCGUACCUACAUUGUACCUUUCAUAUGCCUGCAUAAGUUGUUUAUAUGGAUGAACUGGCAAUGCUCCUACCUAUGGUCAACCUCUCCACAUGUGCAGUAAGUAGAUCUCAUUCUCUCUACAUGAGGAUAUUGCUUCAAAUCUCCCUUCUCUCUUACAUUAUCAAUUUGCCCUUUCUUCUGGGGCUACCUCAUCAGCAUAACAUCUUACUGUUAUUUCUCCCAUCUUCAAAUUCUUUCUUGAUUGUUCUUUUCCCUUCAGCUGUCAUCCCUUCAUUCUCUUUCCCUUAAUUGAUGAACUCCUUGAUGAAAUUUACUGAACUAGUGCUUCCUGUUCCUCUGCCCUCAUUCCCUCUUGAAUCAACUCCAUUCGGACUUUGGCCCCUACCCAUUCCAUCAAAACUCUUGUUAUCAAGCCUCGAUUGGCCGUUGCAUUUCUAAACACAAUGCUCAGUUUGUAGUCCUUAGCAGAGUUGAGCACCUCUUCCUCUUUCAUCAUCUGGCUUCCAGGACGUCAUACUCUCUUGGUUUUACCAUUUCACUAGAUCCUCCUUCUCAGUCUCCUUUGCUGAAUAUUAUUCUCCUCUUAAUGUUAUUGUUCUUCAGGACUUAGUUCUUCUUAUCUCUAUCUACAGUAGACUCACCCCUGGUGAUAUCACUGAAUCUCAUGGUUUUAAGUAUAAUUUCUAUACAAAUGACUUUCAGAUUUAUAUCUCUUGUUCAGACAUUUCUCCUGAAAUUCAGACCUCUACUUUCACUUGCCUACUUGACAUCUUCAUUUGAAUAUCUGUUAAGAAUCUAAUACUUCAGUCUAAAACUCAACUCCUGAUAUUCUACCAACUAAUUGCUUUUAUCCAUAGCCUUCUCUGUCUCACUGGAGGGCAGCUCUAUUCUUCCAGUUUCUCAGUCCAAAACAUUUGAGUUCUCUAAGAUUCCUCUUUAUCUUUCUUUCCUGCUUAUAAUAAUUAUUUUAUAAGAUGCUAUGUCCUUUACCUUGAAAAUAUUUGUCCAGAAUCUGACCACUUCUUGCUAUCUCCACUGCCACCACCACCAUGUCUAUCGAUCAUGAUUAUUGCACUAGCCUUAUAACUGGUUUCCCUGAUUCUCUGUUUGUGCCUCUACUGUCCAUUUACAACAGAGCAGCAAGAGUGCUUCUUUUAAAAUGUAAGUGAAAUUGUAUCAUUCAUCUGCUAAAAAUCCUGCGAUGGCUCCCUAUUUUACUCAGAGGAGAAGCCAAAGUCCUCACAAUGGGUAACAGGGCCUUGCAUAUCUCACUCACUUCUAGACACAAUGACCACUUUUCUGAUCCUUCAAAACUCCAAGAACACUCUUCAGUUCCUUCAGCUUUCCUCUUAGAUAUGCACAUGCUAAUCUCCUAACCUCAUUUAAGUCAUUGUUCAGAAGUCACAUUUUUAGUGAGUCUACCCUGACCGCCUAUUUAAAAUUGCAGUCUCCCAUAUCCUGAUGCCUCCUAAUCUGCUCUUUUGUUUUCUAUAGAGCUUAUCAUCUUCUAACAUACUAUAUGAUUUACCUUUUUAAUAUUUGUUUAUUCUGUUAUUAUUCUACUGAUCAUCUCUUACAUAUGAAAAUGUAAUCUCCCUCUAAAAUUAGGGGUUUGUAUGUUUUUUUGCAUUAAUAUUUUUGAUCAUCUAGAACAGUAUGCCUGGCAUAUAGUAGGUACACUUUCAACAAAGCUUGAAAACCAGCCUUAAAAGUAUCAACCUAAUUUGUAAGUAAACUCAUGCCCUGGCAGACAAAUCUUCAUACUCUUUAAAGGAACACAACAGAAUCCAGACACAAAAUCCAGACAACAAAAUGCAAACACUGGAUAUCAUAGCAUUUAUAAUACCUAACAUCUAAUUUUUUAAAACUACUGUACUUACAAAGAAGUAGGAAAAUAUGACCCACAACCAUGAAAAAAGUCAGCUAGUUCAAGGCAAAUGUGUAAAAGAGAAAAAUGGCUUUGGUGCUUUCUUCCUGUACAUUCAGUGAAAUCUCACAUCUCAAAGCUUUCUAAGCUUGCAACAUAGCCCCCAGCUCACAGUGCUCAGAGCUUCACACAGCAGUGCUCUCUCUUCUUUCUCUUCCUCUAUAUGCAACUUAACUCAUUUGAUCUGUCUUUAUAGUAUUCUUUUUUACUUAGUUUCUCUCUCCUGUAUAUAUCAAGUUUCAACUGGCUAAUCUUUUAAUCUAAUAUAUUAUAACGAGGAAAGGCUAAAGCUACAAAAACUUCCCCAUGUCUAUACUACGUGGGGCCUCUCUUUACCACACCAUGGUAUUGUCAUCUUACUCUAAAUUGUAGAAACUUCACUUGAAUAGAGGAAGAGUAAUUGAUUAGAAAAGUUCACUUUGAAGGGAAUCUCAUGGAACCACCGAUGGAUAGGGUGGAUGCCUACUUUGAAUUUCAUUUCUGGGGGCCAAACCAAUCAUUAUUGUUGUUACUGGGGCACGAGAUCAGGGAUGGACAGGCUGUGAUGGUGAUGGGAAGCAAAAUCACCAAGUAUUGGCCAGAUUUUCUUAAUUUUCUCCUGCCUUAGAUUGGGAUUGCGGUGCUUGAGACUGAUGUGGGGUGCACCCAGCAAGAAGAUACCAAGUAACCCCAGAUGGAGGAUGAAGUGAGUAAUAGAUUCAAGGAGUUAGAGCCUGACAGGAAAACAUCAGUAUUUCUGAACAAAAAGAGUGGAAAAGUCUUCGAUAUUUGGAAGUGAGUUGUGGAUGAAGAAUACAAUUGCAUCACAACUGCAUUGUGUGGCUAAACUAGUGAUGUAGAGGUGGAUGCUGAUUCAGAUCUACUGCCAAUGAACGAACAGCCCUCUGUGUCCAGGAGCUGUCAACACCAUGUACCUCUGUGUGUGAUUUGUGGAUGAUUUGUGUGCCUCUCGCCAACAGAGUUCAUAAACUAAAGAUUAAUGAAAGGAAGAGGCAACCCGUUGGGGGCAAAGCGCUGGUAAAGCAGCAAGGUCUUUUGCUUGUUGGAGCUGGAAUAACCAGGAGGAUUCAUCAUUGUUUCAGCUGACUUUGGUGUCUGGCCAAGCCAGAGGCACUGACGGCAAGCACAUUUGGCUUCGUCUCCUCCUCUGCUACCCCUGGUGCCCAGCAAUCCUGCCACCACUGCAUAAGUUGUCGCCAGACUGAAAACCAGUAGUAGAACUCCUCCUUCUUCCUCCUUCUUUGCUAUUUUUAGAGAAAUCUGAAUAACAAGCUAUUCCCCUCAUUUAUUAUUCUUGAUGAAUGGUAAAUUAUUCUAAUAGCAUUGACUUCUAUUCAUUUAUUAUUUGAGGAUGAUUAGAAGUGAAUAGCUGUUACAAAGCCUCACCAGUUCCAAAAAUUAGACCUUGGAAUUUUGUGUUUCCUUUUGACUCUGAGUAAUUAUCUUUGUUGCUUCCUCUAGUUCUGUCACACACACCUCUUUCUUUUUUUCUAGUCAUGGUCUGUUUUGAGUCCAGAAUCAGGAUGGCCAGUUCUUAAAAGUUUAUCCACAGAGGUGAUGAAUGAGCUUCUGAAAUAUGAUUUCCCUUAGACACACAGGGUUUUAAAAUUAUAUUUAAAUUCAACAAGGUCCCAUAACUCACUCACAACUGUGUUAUUUAAAGGUACAGAAUACUAUGUAAGACACAGCUUACAGAUGGCAACAGAGGUAUAUGAUAGGAUAAAUCACAGUGCUUUUUACAGAAUAGACUGUGUGGUUUUAAUCUGGGAGUAAAAUAACAUGUAGGAUGAAAAAAUUAUUAUUCUUAUUUUUGGAUAAUGAGACUUUUUAUGAACCCCUCUAAUCUGGGCAUUGGAAGCUGCAACCUACCUCCUCAGCCUUAUCUCCCUCACAGCUCUCCAAACAUUCUUUACCCAAGUCAAAGUGGACUCAUUGCUUUUCCUCAAAGAUGACAGCUUUCCCACAAUCUAAAUUAUCUGCUUUUCUUACCUCAAAUAUUUUUUUUAGUUUCUCCACACCACCUCCCAUUCUCCACCUGUGAAAAUUUAAUUCUUCCAUGAAGGCUCACUUUAAAGCCCUUCUUUAAUCCCCUCAUCUCAAAAUAUUUUCUCCCUUCUGUAAUACUGUCGUCUUCUUCUGAAGGACUCCAUUCACAAUUGCCUACUGUCAUGUAUCAGGACAGAUUCAGGUUUUAUGAGGCUUCAUGCUUACAUAAUUUGGGGGAUCUUUUCCAGGAAAAUAAAUAUGAAAUUACAGAUACAACUAUAGAUACAAAAGGGAAUGUUUUUGGGUGAUACCAGUGUAAAGGGUUGAGUAAGAAACUCCAAAAGUCUACCCCUUGAUAAGAGCAACAACAACGGCAACAAAAAAAAAAUUGGAAAAAUUGGCAGAAUUAAUAUUUUUUGAACUUUGAAAGCUAACUAAAAGCUUCUGGCAAUCCAGGGAGUGCUUUUUCAAGAAAAGCACUGAGUCUUGGUAAGAACACUGAGGUUUGUGGCAUUUUAAUUUACAGGUAUACCUCAGAGAUAUUGUGGGUUUUGUUCUAGACCACUGCAAUAAAGCAAAUAUCACAAUAAAGUGAGUCAUGCAAAUUUUUUGGUUUCCCAGUGUGUAUAAAAGUUAUCUUUAUGGUAUAAUUUAGUCUAUUAAAUGUGCAAUAGCAUUAUGUCUAAAAAGACAAUGUACAUACCUUAAUUAAAAUAUCCGUUAUUGCUAAAAAAUUAUAACCAUCAUCUGAGCCUUCAGUGAGUCAUAUUCUUUUUGCUGGUGAAGGGUCUUGUAAAAAACUCAAUGUCUGUGAAGUACAAUAAAGUGAAGCUCAAUAAAACAAGGUAUGUCUGUACUCUAGUCUUAUCCCCAGCUCCUUAGCUCAGUGUUAGACUUGAAAAUAACAGCCCACAUUCCCAUUCCCAGUACUGGUACUGGAGGGAGAAGAAUGGACUUUAUUUUGCAAAGAAUUGUUAUUAUUUGUUUUGACCAAUCUGAUUCAAAAGGCUGUCUUUGUCUCACCUAAUUCAGAAUGUACCCAGUGCUAAAGCUGCAAUGGGUGGUGGGUAGGGGUAUGAGGUUGAUGUUGGUGCAUUUGUUGAAAUCAUUAACAGCAAAUGAUUUAGUUGUUCUUGUCAGAGACAAUACAUAACUGUCGGAGCAAACAAUAGACUAACCAAAAAGCUUGGAAGGAAAGGCGAGGGCAUUGAUGAGAUGUUUUUUAAAGUAACAGCUUUGAAAAGCUCUGAAAUAUUCCUGAGAAUCAAGAAGCCCAGACACAUGCACAGGGCUAUGUGCUUGCUCAGAAAAGACCCGAGAAGAUUUUAAGCUCUCACAUCUGGCUGACCAUGGGGCUAUGUGCAAAAAGAAAGUGAAGCCUAAGGCAAAGUUGUAAACUGCUUGGAGAAGUGUUGAAUGCAUGCCCAAAUAAACACAGAGACCCUGUGCAAAGAUGAGGAGAUAUUUUGGGUUCAAAGCACUUAAGGAAAUCUCUGUUCAAUCAUUAGCUGACCACUGAGCAAAUGGAAAAGAGAUUUUAGUGGUCACACAUGGCAAAUACAGACUUUACAGAGUCUGAUCAGAAACAAACAACAACUGCAACAAAAAACAACAACAAACCUUGGGAAGGGGUUAGAAUUUGACUUUCAAAGUUCUCACAUUUUACUAUUCAAAAUAUCCAGUUUUUGUCAAAAAAAUUAUGAAUUAUGCAAAGAAACAAGUAAGUAUGACCUAGGGACAGGAUAAAAAACAAUCAAUAGAAACUUUUCCUGAGGAAGUCCAGAUGUUGAAUUUAAAUCACCUAUUUUAAGUAUCUUCAAAGAGCUAAAGGAAACUAUGUCUAAACAAAUACAGGAAAGCAUGAGAAUAAUGUCUCACCAAAUAGAGAAAUCAACAAAGAAACAGAAAUUAUAAAAGAGAAACCAAUUAGAAAUUCUGGAGUUGACAAGUAAAAUAACUGAAAUGAGAAAUUCACCAGGGCUCAAUAGCAGAUUUGGACAAAAGAAACAAUCAGCAAUCUCAAAGAUGGGUCAGUUGAGAUUUUCUGUGAAAUCUUGAAAACAGCAUGAGAGAAGUGACUCAUCACAUACAAAAAAGAACUUCAAAAAGAUUAACAGCUGAUUUCUCAUCAGAAACCAUGGAAACCAAAAGCCAAUGGAUGACAUGGUCCAAGUGUUGAAAGAAAAGACUGUCAUCCAAGAAUUCUAUAUCGGGCAAAACUAUCCUUCAAAAAUGAAAGAAAAAGUAAAACUUUCCCAGAUAAUCAAAACUUGUCUGCACAAAAAUGCCAAAGGAGAUCCCUCAGACUAACAGUGACAGGAUACUAGACAGAAACUGGAAUCCACAUGGAGAAAUAAAGAACAUUGGUAAAGGUAAUCAUAUAGGUAAAUAUAAAAAACAGUGUUAAUGGGAUUUUUGUUUGUGUGUAACUCCUCUUUUUUCCUAUCUGACUUAAAAGACAAAUGCAUAAAGCAACAAUUAUAAAUCUAUGCUGAUGGAUACUCAAUAUAUACAGAUGUAAUACAUUGUGAUAUUAACAGCAUGAGGAAGGAAGAGAAUGGAGCUAUAUAAAGC
ensembl:lncRNA